rnacentral:tRNA from 1 species
GUAACUACACCCAUAAACUUUAUAAAAAUUUAUAUCUAAAAUAAAUUAAUACCACUUUCCCUGAUUAUAA